rnacentral:rRNA from 1 species
GGUUUGAUUAUGGCUCAGAUUGAACGCUGGCAGGAUGCUUUACACAUGCAAGUCGAACGGCAGCACGGACUUUCCGGUCUGGUGGCGAGUGAACGGGUGAGUAAUGUCGGAACGAUACCUAAAUGGCAGGGGAUAACUACGCGAAAGCGUAGCUAAUACCGCAUACGCCCUUCGGGGGAAAGCGGGGGACCUUCGGGCCUCGCGCAAACGACGGCCGAUAUCGGAUUGGCUAGUUGGUGGGGUAACGGCUCACCAAGGCGACGAUCCGUAGCUGGUUUGAGAGGACGACCAGCCACACUGGGACUGAGACGCGGCCCAGACUCACGGGAGGCAGCGGUGGGGAAUUUUGGACAAUGGAAACCCACAGUCCAGCCAUCCCGUGUGCGAUGAAGGCCUUCCGGGUUGUAAAGCACUUUUGGCAGGAAAGAAACGGCACGGGAUAAUACCCCGUGCAACUGACAAUACCUGCAGAAUAAGCACCGGCUAACUACGUGCCAGCAGCCGCGGUAAUACGUAGGGUGCAAGCGUUAAUAAUCGGAAUUACUGGGCGUAAAGCGUGCGCAGGCGGUUCGGAAAGAAAGAUGUGAAAUCCCAGAGCUUAACUGAUUCAUUUUUAACGCUACCGAGCUAGAGUGUGUCAGAGGGGUGGAAUUCCGCGUGUAGCAGUGAUGGCGUAGAUAUGCGGAGGAACACCGAUGGCGAAGGCAGCCUCCUGGGAUAACACUGACGCUCACACGAAAAGCGUGAAACAGGAUUAGAUACCCUGGUAGUCCACGCCCUAAACGAUGUCAACUAGCUGGUGGGGCCUUCGGGCCAGCAUUUAGCCAUAACUAACAUGAAGUUAGGCGGCCAUAGAGUACGUGCUUAGGUCAAAACUCAAAGAAUUGACGGGGACCCGCACAAGCGGUGGAUAGUGUGGAUUAAUUCGAUGCAACGCGAAAAACCCUUACCUACCUUGACAUGUCUGGAAUCCCGAAGAGAUUUGGGAGUGCUCGCAAGAGAACCGGAACACAGACGCUGCAUGGCUGUCGUCAGCUCGUGUCGUGAGAUGUUGGGUUAGUCCAUAACAAGCCUGUACUUGUCAGCUGAGUUGCUGAGAACUCUAAUGAGACUGCCAGUGGAAACGGAGGAAGGUGGGGAUGACGUCCGUCUCCUCAUGGCCCUUAUGGGUAGGGCUUCACACGUCAUACAAUGGUCGGGACGAUUCGCCAACCCGCAAGGGGGAACCAAAUCCCAGAAACCCGAUCGUAGUCCGGAUCGCAGUCUGCAACUCUGUUCGUGAAGUCCGGAAUCGCUAGUAAUCGCGGAUCAGCAUGUCGCGGUGAAUACGUUCCGGGUCUUGUACACACCGCCCGUCACACCAUGGGAGUGGGUUUUACCAGAAGUGAUUAGCUAACAAUGAGGCGAUUACCACGGUAGGAUUCAUGACUGGGGUGAAGUCGUAACAAGGUAA